GACGAACGCUGGCGGCGUGCCUAAUACAUGCAAGUAGAACGCACAGUUUAUACCGUAGCUUGCUACACCAUACACUGUGAGUUGCGAACGGGUGAGUAACGCGUAGGUAACCUGCCUGGUAGCGGGGGAUAACUAUUGGAAACGAUAGCUAAUACCGCAUAAUAUUGAUUAUUGCAUGAUAAUUGAUUGAAAGAUGCUAUUGCAUCACUACCAGAUGGACCUGCGUUGUAUUAGCUAGUAGGUGAGGUAACGGCUCACCUAGGCGACGAAACAUAGCCGACCUGAGAGGGUGAUCGGCCACACUGGGACUGAGACACGGCCCAGACUCCUACGGGAGGCAGCAGUAGGGAAUCUUCGGCAAUGGACGAAAGUCUGACCGAGCAACGCCGCGUGAGUGAAGAAGGUUUUCGGAUCGGAAAGCUCUGUUGUAAGAGAAGAACGGGUGUGAGAGUGGAAAGUUCACACUGUGACGGUACCUUACCAGAAAGAGACGGCUAACUACGUG
rnacentral:rRNA from 1 species